rnacentral:rRNA from 1 species
UGUUUCGGCUAGGGGGCCAUCCCGGCUUACCAACCCGAUGCAAACUGCGAAUACCGGAGAAUGUUAUCACGGGAGACACACGGCGGGUGCUAACGUCCGUCGUGAAGAGGGAAACAACCCAGACCGCCAGCUAAGGUCCCAAAGUCAUGGUUAAGUGGGAAACGAUGUGGGAAGGCCCAGACAGCCAGGAUGUUGGCUUAGAAGCAGCCAUCAUUUAAAGAAAGCGUAAUAGCUCACUGGUCGAGUCGGCCUGCGCGGAAGAUGUAACGGGGCUAAACCAUGCACCGAAGCUGCGGCAGCGACACUAUGUGUUGUUGGGUAGGGGAGCGUUCUGUAAGCCUGUGAAGGUGGCCUGUGAGGGUUGCUGGAGGUAUCAGAAGUGCGAAUGCUGACAUAAGUAACGAUAAAGCGGGUGAAAAGCCCGCUCGCCGGAAGACCAAGGGUUCCUGUCCAACGUUAAUCGGGGCAGGGUGAGUCGACCCCUAAGGCGAGGCCGAAAGGCGUAGUCGAUGGGAAACGGGUUAAUAUUCCCGUACUUGGUGUUACUGCGAAGGGGGGACGGAGAAGGCUAUGUUGGCCGGGCGACGGUUGUCCCGGUUUAAGCGUGUAGGUGUGUGUUCCAGGUAAAUCCGGUUCACUUUAACACUGAGGCGUGAUGACGAGGCACUACGGUGCUGAAGCAACAAAUGCCCUGCUUCCAGGAAAAGCCUCUAAGCAUCAGGUAACAUCAAAUCGUACCCCAAACCGACACAGGUGGUCAGGUAGAGAAUACCAAGGCGCUUGAGAGAACUCGGGUGAAGGAACUAGGCAAAAUGGUGCCGUAACUUCGGGAGAAGGCACGCUGACAUGUAGGUGAAGUGAUUUACUCA